GCUGGGAUGUGAUGGGGAGCGAAAUUUAGUAGCGAAGUAGCUGAUUUCACACUGUCAAGAAAAGUCUCUAUCGAGGUUAAAGGUACCCGUACCGCAAACCGACACAGGUGGGUGAGGAGAGUAUCCUAAGGCCAGCGAGAGAACUGUUGUUAAGGAACUCGGCAAAAUGACCCCGUAACUUAGGGAUAAGGGGUGCCACCAUCCGGUGGCCGCAGAGAAUAGGCCCAAGCGACUGUUUACCAAAAACAUAGGUUUCUGCUAAGUCGCAAGACGAUGUAUAGGAGCUGACGCCUGCCCGGUGCUGGAAGGUUAAGGGGAUCUGUUAGAGCAAUCGAAGCAGUGAACUUAAGCCCCAGUAAACGGCGGCCGUAACUAUAACGGUCCUAAGGUAGCGAAAUUCCUUGUCGGGUAAGUUCCGACCCGCACGAAAGGCGUAACGAUUUGGGCACUGUCUCAACAACAGACUCGGUGAAAUUGUAAUUCCGGUGAAGAUGCCGGAUACCUGCGACAGGACGGAAAGACCCCAUGGAGCUUUACUGUAGCUUGACAUUGGGUCUUGGUACUACAUGUACAGGAUAGGUGGGAGGCUUUGAAACCAGGACGCCAGUUUUGGCGGAGCCAUCCUUGGGAUACCACCCUUGUAGUACUGGGACUCUAACCAUAGGCCAUGAAUCUGGUCUUGGGACACUGUCAGGUGGGCAGUUUGACUGGGGCGGUCGCCUCCCAAAAGGUAACGGAGGCGCUCAAAGGUUCUCUCAGUACGGUCGGAAAUCGUACGUAGAGUGUAAAGGCAAAAGAGAGCUUGAUUGCAAGACAUACAGGUCGAGCAAGGAUGAAAAUCGGACUUAGUGAUCCGGUGGUUCUGCGUGGAAGGGCCAUCGCUCAACGGAUAAAAGCUACCCUGGGGAUAACAGGCUUAUCUCCCCCAAGAGUCCACAUCGACGGGGAGGUUUGGCACCUCGAUGUCGGCUCAUCACAUCCUGGGGCUGUAGUAGGUCCCAAGGGUUGGGCUGUUCGCCCAUUAAAGUGGUACGCGAGCUGGGUUCAGAACGUCGUGAGACAGUUCGGUCCCUAUCCGUCGCAGGCGUAGGAAAUUUGAGAAGACCUGUCCUUAGUACGAGAGGACCGGGAUGGACGUACCUCUGGUGUACCAGUUGUCCUGCCAAGGGCAUGGCUGGGUAGCUAUGUACGGAAUGGAUAAGCGCUGAAA
rnacentral:rRNA from 1 species